CCUUCGGGAGGCAGCCGUGGGGAAUUUUGCGCAAUGGGGGAAAGCCCGACGCAGCAACGCCGCGUGAGUGAAGAAGGCCUUCGGGUUGUAAAGCUUUGUCGGAAGGGAAGAAAAGGCAUAAUGUUAAUACCCAGGUGUCUUGACGGUACCUUCAAAGGAAGCACCGGCUAACUCCGUGCCAGCAGCCGCGGUAAU
rnacentral:rRNA from 1 species